GGAUAAACGCUGGCGGCGUGCUUAACACAUGCAAGUCGAACGGAGUAAUUCUCCCGAAGAUUGAGGAAGCUUGCUCUGAAAGAUUCAUUGAAUACUUAGUGGCGGACGGGUGAGUAACGCGUGGGAAACCUGCCCUAUACUGGGGGAUAGCAGUUGGAAACGACUGAUAAUACCGCAUAAGCGCACAGCUUCGCAUGAAGCAGUGUGAAAAACUCCGGUGGUAUAGGAUGGUCCCGCGUCUGAUUAGCUAGUUGGUGAGGUAACGGCCCACCAAGGCAACGAUCAGUAGCCGGCCUGAGAGGGUGUACGGCCACAUUGGGACUGAGGCACGGCCCAAACUCCUACGGGAGGCAGCAGUGGGGAAUAUUGGACAAUGGGGGGAACCCUGAUCCCAGCGACGCCGCGUGAACGAAGAAGUAUUUCGGUAUGUAAAGUUCUAUCAGCAGGGAAGAUAAUGACGGUACCUGACUAAGAAGCACCGGCUAAAUACGUGCCAGCAGCCGC
rnacentral:rRNA from 1 species